rnacentral:rRNA from 1 species
UACGGAGGAUUCAAGCGUUAUCCGGAUUUAUUGGGUUUAAAGGGCGCGUAGGCGGUUUGAUAAGUUAGAGGUGAAAUGUCGGGGCUCAACCCCGAAACUGCCUCUAAUACUGUUGGACUAGAGAAUAGUUGCGGUAGGCGGAAUGUAUGGUGUAGCGGUGAAAUGCAUAGAUAUCGCGCAGAACUCCGAUUGCGAAGGCAGCAUGCCGGCUCCACACUGACGCUGAGGCACGAAAGCGUGGGUAUCGAACAGG